ensembl:lncRNA novel transcript
CUACCCAGAACUGAAGCCUGUGCAGUCCAUCAACGCCCAUCCUUCCAACUGCAUCUGUAUCAAGUUUGACCCCAUGGGGAAGUACUUUGCCACAGGAAGUGCAGAUGCUUUGGUCAGCCUCUGGGAUGUGGAUGAGUUAGUGUGUGUUCGGUGCUUUUCCAGGCUGGAUUGGCCUGUAAGAACCCUCAGUUUCAGCCAUGAUGGGAAAAUGCUGGCGUCAGCAUCGGAAGAUCAUUUUAUUGACAUUGCUGAAGUGGAGACAGGGGACAAACUAUGGGAGGUACAGUGUGAGUCUCCGACCUUCACAGUGGCAUGGCACCCCAAAAGGCCUCUGCUGGCAUUUGCCUGUGAUGACAAAGACGGCAAAUAUGACAGCAGCCGGGAAGCCGGAACUGUGAAGCUGUUUGGGCUUCCUAAUGAUUCUUGAGAGGAGGUUGUAGGGAGAGGAGGCCCCGGCAGAGGUCUUCCUUCAUGUGGUUAGUUUGGUCUGUUCUCUCGGAGUUGGUGGGCACC